GCCGUCGUAGCGCAAUGGUAGCGCGUCGCUUUCCUAUUUAGAAUAGUGACAGGCGAAGGUUGCGAGUUCGAUCCUCGUCGUCGGUA